rnacentral:tRNA from 1 species
CCCCUCGUAGCUCAGCGGACAGAGCACCCGGUUUCUACCCGGCGCAGCGCAGGUUCGAAUCCUGCCGAGGGGA